CCUACGGGGGGCAGCAGUGGGGAAUAUUGCACAAUGGGGGAAACCCUGAUGUAGCGACGCCGCGUGAGUGAAGAAGUAUUUCGGUAUGUAAAGCUCUAUCAGCAGGGAAGAAAAUGACGGUACCUGAUUAAGAAGCCCCGGCUAACUACGGGCCAGCAGCCGCGGUAAUACGUAGGGGGCGAGCGUUAUCCGGAUUUAUUUGGUGUAAAGGGAGCGUAGACGGCAGGAGAAGUCUGGCGUGAAAUGCCGGGUCUUAACCCCGGCCCUGCGUUGGAAACUGUGCUGCUAGAGUGAAGGAGAGGUAUGUGGAAUGCGUGGUGUAGCGGUGAAAUGCGGAGAUAUCACGCAGAACACCAGUGGCGAAGGCGGCUUACCGGACCGUAACUGACGUUGAGGCACGAAAGCGUGGGGAGCGAACAGGAUUAGAUACCCCAGUAGUC
rnacentral:rRNA from 1 species